AUUGAACGCUGGCGGCAGGCUUAACACAUGCAAGUCGAGCGGGGAAGGGUAGGUUGCUACCUGACAUAACGGCGGACGGGUGAGUCAUGCUUAGCAAUCUGCCUUUUAGUGGGCGACGACAUUCCGAAAGGAAUGCUAAUACCGCAUACCCCCUACGGGGGACAGGUGGGGAUCUUCAGACCGUGCGCCAAUUGAUGAGCCUUAGGCCGAUUAGAUAUUUGGUGGGGUAAAGGCCUACGAACGCGACGAUCUGUAGCGGGUCUGAGAGGAUGGUCCGCCACACGGGGACUGAGACACGGCCCAGACUCCUACGGGAGGCAGCAGUGGGGAAUAUUGGACAAUGGGCGAAAGCCUGAUCCAGCCAUGCCGCGUGUGUGAAGAAGGCCUUUUGGUUGUAAAGCACUUUAAGCGAGGAGGAGGCUACCGAGAUUAAUACUCUUGGAUAGUGGACGUUACUCGCAGAAUAAGCACCGGCUAACUCUGUGCCAGCCGCCGCCGUAAGAC
rnacentral:rRNA from 1 species